UGCCCUGUUCACACAGACUCUGUUCUUUCAAUUCCAAGGCCAGGCCACAGGAACAGGUUCUUCCUUUGUUUGGAAAACUCCCUCUAGGACUCCAGAGAGUCAGAGCCUGGACAAGGAGAAAGGGAGCCUCAAGGCUGGGGAGCCUGUCCUCAUAGGAAUGGGUCCUGUGAAGUCACAGAGACAGACAGGAGGCACUGGAUAAUGAAGAUGAGUCUUCAAAUCGAUAGUGAUGUGGUCGCCAGCACUGAAAUCCUGUAGUCCUGCCCUUGCUGGAGGAGCUCCAGGGAUGUGGAAACCAGAACUAUUUCACUUUCUUCUUAAUAACCCUGUAAGCGUGAUGAUCACAGCAUCAAGAGACAACAGGGAGGGGUGGGGACUGUGGCAAACCAGAGACCACGCGGCCAGGGUGAAAGGGAGGCUGCGACUCAGCUUGUCCGAUUUUUCCAGGGGGGGGGCAGUACUGGCAGACUUCCUGAUUUUCAAAAAAGAAGCCAGAAUUUCACUUUUUUUUUUUUUUGAGAGAGAGAGAGUGAGACAGAGCAUGAGUGGAGGAGGGACAGAAAGACAGGCAGACAGAGAAUCGG